rnacentral:rRNA from 1 species
GAUGAACGCUGGCGGCGUGCCUAAUACAUGCAAGUCGAGCGAAUGGAUUAAGAGCUUGCUCUUAUGAAGUUAGCGGCGGACGGGUGAGUAACGCGUGGGUAACCUGCCCAUAAGACUGGGAUAACUCCGGGAAACCGGGGCUAAUACCGGAUAACAUUUUGAACCGCAUGGUUCGAAAUUGAAAGGCGGCUUCGGCUGUCACUUAUGGAUGGACCCGCGUCGCAUUAGCUAGUUGGUGAGGUAACGGCUCACCAAGGCAACGAUGCGUAGCCGACCUGAGGGGGUGAUCGGCCACACUGGGACUGAGACACGGCCCAGACUCCUACGGGAGGCAGCAGUAGGGAAUCUUCCGCAAUGGACGAAAGUCUGACGGAGCAACGCCGCGUGAGUGAUGAAGGCUUUCGGGUCGUAAAACUCUGUUGUUAGGGAAGAACAAGUGCUAGUUGAAUAAGCUGGCACCUUGACGGUACCUAACCAGAAAGCCACGGCUAACUACGUGCCAGCAGCCGCCGUAA